rnacentral:lncRNA from 9 species
GUACAAGACAAGGAUUGCUUCCUCCAACAAAUAAGCGUGUCAGUCCCUGUGCUGAGCAUUAGGGGUUCUAGAGUGCACCAGACAGUGUUCCUGCACAAGACGGUCAGUAAUGACUGUGUACCUCUGUUGUACUGGUAGUCAAUACAGGUUACCCAGGGGAGAUGUGGCUGGGAAUAGAAGAGGAACUAUGUCUCUGAAGGGAGACCAUGAGGUUGCCGUGUGGACAGGGAGACAGACCUUCCAGGCUCAGACACUACAUGGGGAAGACAAGGGCAUGAAAUCAUGGUAUUUCCAGGGAGUAGCAAGGACUCUAUGGAGCCAAGAACAUAUCUGCAUGGAGGGGAGUGGGUGAAGAUGAGGGUGAACAAGUUCGCAGUGACCAAGUACAGCCAUUUGACAAAUGCCUCACUCACCCCACCCACCAACCUCUUCCGCUGCACAUGCCUACAGAGGGUUUCCAAUAAGUCAUGAAUGAAUGAUAAUAUGUCGGGAAGUAUAUCAAGCUUGGGACCAAGUUAUAUAUCCUUCAGGAAAUUUACCAGAGAUCUGAAUCUUGAAGUUUCAGCCUCUCUCUUGACUUGAACAAUCUGGUAAAAUUCUGGAAUUACUUGCUAAGCCUGACUCAUUUCCAACCUUGGGAAGAAAGACAAGCAGGAGAGAGAGGAGGAGUUCAGGAGAACUUUCACUCCCACCCAGUGUUUAGAAAUGGCUCCAAAUGGUUUGUUUUGCAAUAAACACAAACAUUUAGAAAGACAUUUUUUCUCUCUCUUCCCGCAGGAAUACUCUAGAAAAAGAAGAGAAGGCAGAAGAAUAACUAUAAAGGAGGAAGCAUUAUACAUUUUCUUAAGCACCUAUAAUGUGCCAGAUGUUCUUCGAGAUGCUGGGGCUACAGUGGUGAUGGAAUUGUCCAGUGGACUCCAAGUUCCAUGGAGAGAGGCUUGGAAACAUGUGCUCCUCUGGGUGCCUGGAAAGACUGCUCACCAGUGA